rnacentral:rRNA from 1 species
UACGGGGGGAGCAAGCGUUGUUCGGAUUUACUGGGCGUAAAGGGCGCGUAGGCGGUCAGCACAAGUCAGUUUGUGAAAUCUCCGGGCUUAACUCGGAAAGGUCAACUGAUACUGUGCGACUAGAGUGCAGAAGGGGCAACUGGAAUUCUCGGUGUAGCGGUGAAAUGCGUAGAUAUCGAGAGGAACACCUGCGGCGAAGGGCG